GGCUCGCCGUUGAGUGGCUGCGGUGGCAGUCACUCCGAACGCUUUUGUUUUCUAAGGGGUACGCCUAUUCUAGCAAGACUGGUUGAGGUGUCUGAGCCCCGCCGACCCUUUCCCGGGGAAACACGUAGAGGCUGGUACCCGGGCGCGGGAGACGCUCACCCCCUGUUCCCGUGAAGGACUGCCCUUCGGAACAAGUCGGCGCCAGGGAGAAAUUCUAAUUAUUAUCGAGGGUUAUUGUUGUUCUUCAGUCGCUAAGUCGUAUCGGAGUCUUUGAGAUCCCAAGGAGGGAGGUGGGUAAUAAUUGUACCUACCCCACGGGAUUGUUGAGGCGUAUAAAGCUUUAGGACGUGGCUGGUCAUUUUAGGUCGAAUCCUA
rnacentral:lncRNA from 1 species